AGUUGUUGUGGUUAAAAAGCUCGUAGUUGGAUCUCAACAACCUUGGAGCGGUCGCCUAAGCGGUGUACUGCUUCUUAGGUUGUGCUUUUGCUGGAGGUUUAGAGGUGCUCUUGAUCGGGUGUCUCUGGAUGCCAGCAGGUUUACUUUGAAAAAAUUAGAGUGCUCAAAGCAGGCUAUUCCGCCUGUAUAUCGGUGCAUGGAAUAAUAGAAUAGGAUGUCGAUCCUAUUUUGUUGGUUUUCGGGACUCGACAUAAUGAUUAAUAGGGACAGUCGGGGGCAUUUGUAUUCAAACGACAGAGGUGAAAUUCUUGGACCGUUUGAAGACAAACUACUGCGAAAGCAUUUGCCAAGAAUGUUUUCAUUAAUCAAGAACGAAAGUUAGAGGUUCGAAGGCGAUUAGAUACCGCCCUAGUUCUAACCAUAAACGAUGCCAGCUAGCGAUCUGCCGGUGUUUUUACUGUAGACCCGGCAGGAAGCUUCCGGGAAACCAAAGCAUUUGGGUUCCAGGGGAAGUAUGGUUGCAAAGCUGAAACUUAAAGGAAUUGACGGAAGGGCACCACCAGGAGUGGAGCCUGUGGCUUAAUUUGACUCAACACGGGAUAACUCACCAGGCCCGGACACUGGAAGGAUUGAC
rnacentral:rRNA from 1 species